AAGGAAAUUCUCAUCAUUUGGAAACUGUGAAGACAGUGUAGGACUAAAUAAAUCUCUUUCCCUUUCAAUGAAUAAAUUAUGUGAAUAUGUCUGACCGUUUUACCACUCACAGUUUUCCCGUUUAACCUGCAAUCUGACCUGGGUUUAUGCAGCGAGGAGAGCCACUGAUAGGCAAGUGGAGAUAGCUGGCCCUUUUUAAAAAAGAAACAAGCUAAGCGUUAAAGCGCAGCCAAAAUACUCGCUGCUUGAUAAGCUAGGUCUGUCAGAUUUUAUUGUGUGCCCGCCUUUGUUAGUGCGCAGCAGCAACAACAGCCUCCCUCCGCCUCCUCCUCACUCCGGAGCCUCCGUGAUUCCCGCCUAGCCGUGCAGCAGUGCGGUCCGCCGACGAAACGCCGGGGGGCGGCCGCUGCAUGCACGCAGGGCUCGGUGAUUCAGAGAGGCCCACCAGUGUAAUGAACUGGAACGACUCCUGCAAUUCCCAAUGGAGAUGUGGGGGUAGCGGUGGUGGAGAAGAGGGGACCGAGACCACCGCUGUGGCCGCUGAGAGAGGUCGUCAGCGGGUUAAAGUCCUCGACACAAACACUCAUUUAUCCGUCUGGCACGUUUCAGCGGCGAUAAAGACAAAGCAAUGGAGGACUGCUCCGUUAUGUUCAUUCAUGAAAGUAGAACCAUCCUAGCUUGCCAAAACGGCUACAUUUGUUCCUUUUUUUAACCUCUAAUAACGUGUUAAAACAAAUAAUAUACUCAUUUUCAUACGAAGUUUAACAGUUAGCUCACCUUAAUUAAUUAUUUAAAGCAAAUAUGUGUCUUUGUUCCCUUUACCGUUACAGGCUGGCCAGCCGACCGUUAGUUCACGUUCAGUGCAAAGUGCAAGUUCACUGCCAGGAGAAACUUCCAGAAUAAUCACGUUCAGCCAGUCAAUCACAGAAGCUAAAGCCACACUGUCGUUCAAUUUAACGUCUAAUUAAGUCGCCAUUAAGUUGUGUUGAACAGAAUUGGACAGGCAUUUACAAGGAAGCCUCGUUUCGACCUGUAUGUCAGAGGACGAUACGACACAAAUACUGUGCGGUAGUUUCUGUCUCGUUUGACUGCACUGCGAAACCAGCUCCUCGGGUAUCAAAUACAUGCAGCCUCCGGCGGGGGAGUCCAUGUUUAUUUUGUUUUUGAAGCAGCUUUUCUACACCUUCGGGGCGACCUUAUUACCCUGCGGUUGCCCGGCGUCUUCAUUUGCAUGUGUCCCCCCUUGUCAUGUCAGGGAAGCUGCUGUCACAGCAAAGAGGUGGCGGAUGAGGGGGGGGGAGGAUUUAACUGCAACUUUCUGGAGGAUGGCUCUGCGGGCUCUCUGUGGCGAGUUUGGCUAAACUUUACAGGGAGGUGAAGAGGUCAGCUGCUGAGGCGCCGACACCCAGAAGACAACCUGCUGAUCACUUCCAGCCUCGUCUGCCGCAACAGGUGCCGGAUCCGCUCCGGCUCGGCUCCUGCGAAUGAGAGAGGAGGAAUUUUUCAGUGCCCCGAUCCAAACCCAACAUCUGCCAAGGCGGCGGGAGACGGUGCACGGCGAGAGACACUGGCAGAGUGGCGUGUGUGCGACGAGGAAGAUUGUGUGUCUGCAUCCCACCCUCACCCCUCCCCACCGCCUCGCACACUGAGGCCCUGGCCACCGAGGUGUCAGCGGGUGCCAGACUGAAAGGCUGGCGAGACGACCUCACUUACUGUGCAGCUUGUACGCCCUCAGCCACAUUAUCUGCAGUCAUAACUGUGCGCGUGUCUCACUGUGUGACUGCAAGAUGAAAAGGGGGUGAAGCCAGCCAGGAAGCUCCCCUCCACCCCCAACCCCACCCGCCUCCCAGACAGAAUUUGGACUACUGUGCCGAGAUUACCCAGUAGCCUCCCUCCUCCUCCCCCAAAGCCUCCCGUGUCCGUUUGGCAGUAAGACGUGUCAGGGAUAAGAGAGAGAAAGUGUCUCCCCUGGGUGCUGUGCUCCAGCUAACCCAGAUUUUAUGCAGUGUGACACAGAGGAAGACACCGGCUCCUGCGCCGCGCUCGGAGCUGGCUGUCUGAACCCGGGCGGCCCCGCGAGCUCAAACAGCUUAAAUAACAGCCAGGCAGAGCAAGUCAGAGCAGGAGCCCAGAGAGGAGUCCAUUAUUGCCUGGAUUCGUUUUGGUGAGGCAAGUCCCACUCUCAACAGGGGCUUACGUAAGAGGAGUUCUUCCAAAUUAUAGCCAGCUUGUUAGUUUUGGUUAUUUUUUUUCUUCUUUAAAGAGAUUUAGAAGAGGUUGAAUCUGUGCCUUACUUGAUUUAUAAAUUUUGCUUUUGGUGUGUAUCCACUCUCAUUUCUACAAUAGACAGUGAUAACCUUUAACUGAAAAUAUUACAUUUUUUAGAUCAUUUUUUCUUACUUUCUUUAAAGGACUUUACAUAGCUUCCCUUACUAGUAAUAUUAAACUGUAGGACUUGGUUUAAUAAUUUUAGCUGUUAGAAUUUAGGCCCAUUCCUGCUGUCAGAACCGCUGUAAGUGGGUCAGGUUUGUGGGCCGCCUCGCUCGUGCACCUUCUCUGCUCUGCACACACACAUUUUCUAAAUUACUGAAAUCAGGGCUUUACGAAGGGCCCUUCAAAACAAUGUUCUUAAGCUACUUUGUAAUUAUUUGGCUUUCCAUUCAAAAGACCCGCUUGUGCCCAGGCUUUAACUUCCAAGUUAACAUCUCGAACUGUUGCCGCCAUAUUUCCACGCGAUGUUUGUUACCCAUCAUGCCAUCUGCUUCGUGCACCAGCAAAAAUAGAUAUCAGCAAAACACCCCAUACGAUGACGCCGCCACACCUUUCUAGUUUCACUUUCAGCAGCUUUCAAUCUAACAAAGGUACAUUUUUGAGCGUGUGGAGCCACUAAAUAACCCUGAGGUGGUAAAGUUGUGCUGGCGGAUAAGUUGAUUGUCUCUAAAAACCAUGAAAACUGUGAGAGAUCAGUUUCUCUGACAACUCUCCAUAUAUUAAGGUAUUUGUUCCUGAGACUAUUUGCAAACUGUAUUUUUUUUAAUGUUGCUUUUGGAAUAAUCUUCCUCUCUGAGUGGCCCUUUAGCUCAUGCAGUUACAUGACUCAUUUCCUUGUGGAUAAUAAUACUUUCACUUAGUAUUUUUACAAGAUAUUGUCCUUUUAUUCCGGGGUUGAUGCAUUUCAUGCUAAAACACGUUUAUAUAUCCGUGACGCACAAGCUGAUGGCUGGAAAUUCCCAUCCUGUUUUUACAUACAUUUGUAGUUUAUAGAAGCGCGCCAUGGCACCUUCACGGAUCUAGACAAACCAGACUUGAUUAGGACCAUCAUUCUCUUCCUGGUGUCUGUUGAUUUUUUUUUUUGUAUCAAAAGUUGAUUUGAAUUCACAAAAUGUUCCUCUACCGAACUCAAAUAGUGUGAAUUUUUCCAUCAGAAGUUUACAAUGUCAUGACAUCAUCACUGGUAGACAGUAAUCGUAGCGUAUGUACAUUUUUAACUUUAAAGAGAGUCAUAAAAUAUUCAGAAUUUAUUUGGUAAAUAAAAAUAACUGUGUUACUCUUAAUUGACCUAAUACAGAAAAUAUUUGAUCUGAUUAAAUGUUAGACUUUGACUGUAAUAAAAAAAAAAAAGACUUCAAAAAAACUAAGAUUUGUGAUGUUUGUCAAAAUGAUUUUUGCUUUUGUUUCUUUCAUAUCACUGAGGUUACUGCUAAAUAGUAUUUUUCUGGAAGAAAGCAAUGUUUAUGGAUUGAAAUGGCUGUAAACUUAAGGAAUAUUUUUUCCAAAACAGAAUAAAAAAUAAUCUGAUUGUCAUCAUAACUCAUUUUAGCAGCACUAUAAUAUUUAAACCAAAGACUCCUCUGCUUGUUGUCAGCUUUUGUGUGCAAACAGUGCAGAUUCAAAUUGUGCAAUAAGGAUUUUCCUGCAGUGAGGACUUGUAGACUUAGUGGUCUAACUUUAAUAAAGGUUAUUUAUUUGUAAUAUUUGCAAGACUUUUA